GAUGAAGAACGCAGCGAAAUGCGAUAAGUAAUGUGAAUUGCAGAAUUCAGUGAAUCAUCGAAUCUUUGAACGCAUCUUGCGCUCCUUGGUAUUCUGAGGAGCAUGCCUGUUUGAGUGUCAUUAAAUUCUCAACUACACUGACUUUGAAUUGGUGUGGCUUGGAUUUGGGGGGAAAAUUGUUGUGGGCUUUUUGUAUAGUCUGCUCCCCUGAAAUUGAUUAGCGGUACCUUUGUGGAACUGUCUACAGGUGUGUUAAUUAUCUACAUCUUAGACAUCUGCUGGAAUGCUGCUUUCUAAACCUUACUUGUAUUGACAAUCUUGACCUCAAAUCAGGUAGGACUACCCGCUGAACUUAAGCAUAUCAAUAAGCGGAGGA
rnacentral:misc_RNA from 1 species